GUGAGGUGGGCCCCUGGCUCACACCACACCAAAUGAGCUGCGACAGCCACCUACAGGGACAGGGCACAGAGGGGUAGAGUUCACGGUGCUCACGCAACUCCAAGUGUGGGUUUUCCUCAAGACUGGCUGCGGAUUCCCCCACAUCAUCGCACCCCUCUCAGCCUUCCUGGCCCCAUGGCCCCAUGGCCAGGUUUACCUGUCCAAUUCACUCCUGUGACUCUUCCUUUCUGGAGGCUUCCUGAGCCUUCAAGGGGCCUGCAUCUGCCAGCCCUGUGUCCAUUAGUGAAGGAACGAAUGUGAAAAGCCAAUGGCCUGAAGCAGAGCCAACCAGCCCAGGCCUACCAGCUACCCCACCUUCCAGGUUGGCAAAUGACCUGCAGAAUGACUGCACUCACGGGGGCGCUUCUGCGGUAAGAGGGCAGGCGGAUGGAAGGAGCGAGUGACCUAGAGGAUCUGGCGUGCCCAGACCCCAAGUAUUCAUAGGAAGAAAUGCACACGGUGACAUAAUAGGAUGUUAGAGCCCCGCAGGCUACAAUGCGGCACCACCACCGUAAUCAAGAAUUAUGACACUACCUCUUCUCAAGUCCUUCCUUGGAGGCUCCCCUGUGUCCAGCGGCUCUGCCUAGCCUCCAAGACUCAGUUCAGGGGCUCCUUUCUUAAGAACCUCUUCCUCAUCUGCUCUCCAAACAAGGAUGCCCGCAGCCAUACUUGGAAAGCCCAGCAAGAAACAGAGCAAACGCAAGGUGAUUCCCGCACCUGCUGAGCUAAGGAACAAACUUCACCUGUGGUCACGUGCCCUGUCUCAAAACCCACCCCAGGAGAAAAAAAACACAAGGAACCCAGUGACACCAA